rnacentral:rRNA from 1 species
GACGAACGCUGGCGGCGUGCUUAACACAUGCAAGUCGAACGGAAAGGCCCUGCUUUUGUGGGGUGCUCGAGUGGCGAACGGGUGAGUAACACGUGAGUAACCUGCCCUUGACUUUGGGAUAACUUCAGGAAACUGGGGCUAAUACCGGAUAGGAGCUCCUGCUGCAUGGUGGGGGUUGGAAAGUUUCGGCGGUUGGGGAUGGACUCGCGGCUUAUCAGCUUGUUGGGGGGGUUGUGGCUUACCAAGGCUUUGACGGGUAGCCGGCCUGGGAGGGUGACCGGCCACAUUGGGACUGAGGUACGGCCCAGACUCCAACGGGAGGCAGCGGUGGGGAAUAUUGCACAAUGGGCGGAAGCCUGAUGCGGCAACGCCGCGUGCGGGAUGACGGCUUUCGGGUUGUAAACCGCUUUCGCCUGUGACGAAGCGUGAGUGACGGUAAUGGGUAAAGAAGCACCGGCUAACUACGUG